rnacentral:tRNA from 1 species
GCGAGCAUGCUGGAACUGGCAGACAGGCACGUUUGAGGGGCGUGUGGGAGACCGUAUGGGUUCAAGUCCCAUUGCUCGCACCA